rnacentral:rRNA from 1 species
GCCUUGUACACACCGCCCGUCACACCAUGGGAGUCGGUAACACCCGAAGUCUGUAGCCUGACGCAAGAGGGCGCAGCCGAAGGUGGGAUUGAUGGACUGGGGUGAAGUCGUAACAAGGUAGC